CGAUAGUAAACAAGUACCGUGAGGGAAAGUUGAAAAGAACUCUGAAUAGAGAGUUAAAUAGUACGUGAAACUGCUUAGAGGUUAAGCCCGAUGAACCUGAAUAUCCAAUAUAGAAAAUUCAUCAUUAUGACUCUAAUAUUUUUAAAUAUUAUAAUAAUAGUGUGCAUUUUUUCUAUAGAGGACAUUGUAAUCUAUUGAUAUAAAAGAAAUUUAUUAUAAGAUCGAUUGCGCAAGUUU
rnacentral:rRNA from 1 species